rnacentral:rRNA from 1 species
GAUGAACGCUGGCGGCGUGCCUAAUACAUGCAAGUCGAGCGAACAGACGAGGAGCUUGCUCCUCUGACGUUAGCGGCGGACGGGUGAGUAACACGUGGAUAACCUACCUAUAAGACUGGUAUAACUUCGGGAAACCGGAGCUAAUACCGGAUAAUAUAUUGAACCGCAUGGUUCAAUAGUGAAAGACGGUUUUGCUGUCACUUAUAGAUGGAUCCGCGCCGCAUGAGCUAGUUGGUAAGGUAACGGCUUACCAAGGCAACGAUGCGUAGCCGACCUGAGAGGGUGAUCGGCCACACUGGAACUGAGACACGGUCCAGACUCCUACGGGAGGCAGCAGUAGGGAAUCUUCCGCAAUGGGCGAAAGCCUGACGGAGCAACGCCGCGUGAGUGAUGAAGGUCUUCAGAUCGUAAAACUCUGUUAUUAGGGAAGAACAAAUGUGUAAGUAACUAUGCACGUCUUGACGGUACCUAAUCAGAAAGCCACGGCUAACUACGUG